GAUGAACGCUGGCGGCGUGCCUAACACAUGCAAGUCGAACGGAGUCCAGCCUUUAAGACCUUCGGGUCAAAGAGGGGAAGACUGAGUGGCGGACGGGUGAGUAACACGUGGGCAACCUGGCUCAUAGAGGGGGAUAACAGAGAGAAAUUUCUGCUAAUACCGCAUAAGCACACACUGCCGCAUGGCAGAGGUUGAAAAGAGAAUCGCUAUGAGAUGGACCCGCGUCUGAUUAGCCAGUUGGCAGGGUAAGAGCCUACCAAAGCGACGAUCAGUAGCCGAUCUGAGAGGAUGAACGGCCACAUUGGGACUGAGACACGGCCCAAACUCCUACGGGAGGCAGCAGUGGGGGAUAUUGCACAAUGGGGGGAACCCUGAUGCAGCGACGCCGCGUGAGUGAAGAAGUAUUUCGGUAUGUAAAGCUCUAUCAGCAGGGAAGAUAAUGACAGUACCUGAAUAAGAAGCCCCGGCUAACUACGUG
rnacentral:rRNA from 1 species